rnacentral:lncRNA from 1 species
CCGGAGCCGAGAUGUUGAGUGAGUUAAGAACCCUGUUUCCCUCCUGCCUCUCUUUCCUGGCUCUGCAGCUAGCUGAGCGGCUGAAGCUCUCUGACCCGCUGCUGCUGGAGAUGCCGGAUCAGGACCAGACCCUGGAGCCUGACUGGCUUGUACAGCUCCGAACCCAGUGCCGGGAAUGGGAGAUGGAAGAAGACCUCCCUCCUGAGUUGGCAUCAGGUGAGCCAGAGCUUUCCAGGGCCAGUGGAUCAGCUGCAGAUGGAGAAUUUGGCCAUGAGUUUGCCCAGGGCAAGGGCUACCAGCAUGACCAGUGGCACCAGCAAGGCACCCCUCUGCUGCUGCAAGGAACAAGCUCCCAGGAGGACCUGUUCCUCCAGCCCUUGGCACCUCCUCCGGCAGCAGCAUCCGAUCAGGUCAUAACAUUGCUGCCUCACGAUAUCAGGCCAGAGCACCAGAC